GAUGAACGCUGGCGGCGUGCCUAAUACAUGCAAGUCGAGCGAACGGACGAGAAGCUUGCUUCUCUGAUGUUAGCGGCGGACGGGUGAGUAACACGUGGAUAACCUACCUAUAAGACUGGGAUAACUUCGGGAAACCGGAGCUAAUACCGGAUGAUAUUUUGAACCGCAUGGUUCAAAAGUGAAAGACGGUCUUGCUGUCACUUAUAGAUGGAUCCGCGCUGCAUUAGCUAGUUGGUAAGGUAACGGCUUACCAAGGCAACGAUGCAUAGCCGACCUGAGAGGGUGAUCGGCCACACUGGAACUGAGACACGGUCCAGACUCCUACGGGAGGCAGCAGUAGGGAAUCUUCCGCAAUGGGCGAAAGCCUGACGGAGCAACGCCGCGUGAGUGAUGAAGGUCUUCGGAUCGUAAAACUCUGUUAUUAGGGAAGAACAUAUGUGUAUGUAACUGUGCACAUCUUGACGGUACCUAAUCAGAAAGCCACGGCUAACUACGU
rnacentral:rRNA from 1 species